AGUUAGCAUUUUAGCACUUCCGGUUCCAUCGCCCCGAAGUCAAUGUUUUUUUUUUAAUGGGAUUUUUUUUAAAUGGCUGAAAUAAGGUUUGUGGUGAACGCAAGCUUAAGACAGUUUCACGUUUUAUUCUACAACAUAAAAUGCAUCAGCAUUACCCCACUUGUGAUUUUUUAAGCUGUUAUGUGUCUUGAAAAAGCCGGUUGCUAACAAGUGGCUAAAUGGGACUACACAGGCAGUCGGGGAUAUUAAACGUCAUCACGCUGAAAAGAUAAGCAAGACAGACAUAUUAGGGCAACAUGAAGAGCGAGGUCUGACCCUCAGCCAGCAGUCUGAGAAGCCUGGCGCUCUCCCUCAGUCGUGCUCUUAAGGUCUUCUGCAUGGCCUGCUGUGCUCUCAUCUCCACCCGCAGGAUCUGCAGCUGACUGUCCAGUAGCUGUGUCAGCUGAUUGCCCAGCGCUCUUCGUCGCACCAUCUCUUGCUCCACCUGUCUCUCCAGACCUUCAGUUUUCCCUCCAAACAUCCUCCAGCCAGGGUGGAGCUCUCUCAACUUCCCCAGCACCCCCUGGUAGAGCUGCUUCACCUAGACAGGGUGCACGUUUCAUUCAAUAAAACAAGCUUACAAAGGAGUGCUAUACUUACAACUCAUUUUACAACUUAACCCACACACUUCGCCCCAGGGAAGUAACAGUUCAUUUCUGUAUCCUACAUAGUAUCAUACUGAACAGUGAAACAAGAGAGACUGUUAAUUACAACUGAGCAUCUCAGUGACGCUAUUCAAUAUAUGUUAUAAAUAUGUUUGAACUUUACUAGGGGGAUAUUUGAAGCUCUGAGGGGUGGGAAUUAAGACUAUUGUUCCCAUGAAGUCUCACCUCUCCUCUGAGCUGUCCGAGACGUACUGUGACAGACACGCUGUGCUUGAGCAGGAUGUCGUAGAAGGUGCUGGAACUGAAGGCUUCGAGAUCCACUUGCUCUUCAUAGUCCCAGAACUCAUUUGACACCAGAGCCACCGCUGUGGGCAAUGUGAGCACAGUCUGUGGGAAUUCUAGCUCUGGACAGAGCUAAUACAAUACCAUAGGAAAGCCAAAUGUGUCACGCCCAAUAAAUCUCCUGACAAUCAUUGCUUUGAAAGCAAAGAGUAAUCUUUGGUAACUGUGUACGAUGCCGUCUAGGACUUUUAGUGUUUGUCAAACAGAGAUCUGGUUCUGCCAAAACAGCAGGGAUAUCCUAAAAACUUGUACCACAUGAGGGUAAAAUGAGUUUACUACUGCCGUCACAAAUGUAGCCUGAUAUCAUCUGAUAAAGAAUCUUGGCAAUGUAUGUUCAAAUGUUACUUGGAGCAAAUAAAAUAGCUUUUGA